AACGAACGCUGGCGGCAUGCCUAACACAUGCAAGUCGAACGAGACCUUCGGGUCUAGUGGCGCACGGGUGCGUAACGCGUGGGAACCUGCCCUUAGGUUCGGAAUAACUCCCCGAAAGGGGUGCUAAUACCGGAUAAUGUCUUCGGACCAAAGAUUUAUCGCCUUUGGAUGGGCCCGCGUUGGAUUAGCUAGUUGGUAGGGUAAAAGCCUACCAAGGCGACGAUCCAUAGCUGGUCUGAGAGGAUGGUCAGCCACACUGGGACUGAGACACGGCCCAGACUCCUACGGGAGGCAGCAGUGGGGAAUAUUGGACAAUGGGCGGAAGCCUGAUCCAGCAAUGCCGCGUGAGUGAUGAAGGCCUUAGGGUUGUAAAGCGCUUUUAACCGGGAUGAUAAUGACAGUACCGGGAGAAUAAGCUCCGGCUAACUCCGUG
rnacentral:rRNA from 1 species